AUCCUCAUGGUGUAGUGGCUUGAAUGUUGGACUACAACUCUGGAGACCAGGGUUCAAUUCCCAGCUUGGCCA